CCAUGACAUGUGAGGAUUAUAGGAAAUAUAAGAUGAGAUUUGGGUGGGGACACAACCAAACCAUAUCAGAGGGGUCAGGGUAAACAUUAUUCUGAGGGGCAGGGGAUAGUGACUGAAAAGAACUCCAAAGAGGUGUUCUGAGGUCUGGCAAUAUCCUGUGUCUUGCUCUAGCUGGUGGUUAGUUACAUGGAUGCAUUUAGCAUGUGAAAAUUCAUGGGGCUGUACAUUUGAUAAAUAGGCCCAUGGAAAACAAUCAGUAAAUGAGCUCAAUAGGAAUUUAUAAAUCUCCCUGUAGGAGGAUGCUAAUGUAACACAGCCAAAAUUAUAAUGCCAUUUUGGGGAAGCUUUUGUGGCCUCAAACACCAUUAGGAAACCCACAGGCAAUGGGAAGACACUUGGCUCAAGGCACUGGAAUACCAGAAUCAUGACCCUUUUUGGGACUAGAAGAUCUUGGAAAUCAUAUACGCCAAGCCCCUCAGUUUACAGAUCUGGAAAUGAGGCUCCCAAGCUUCCGCUGUUGCAAAUAUCGUCUGGAAGACAAUGCCUCCAAUCAAUGGAGCUCAGCCCUGGCUGCACGGCAAAACCUCCUGGAGAGCUUUAAAACAUAUUGAUACCCAGGCUCACCCCCAGCCUAAUUAAUUUAUAAUCUCUGGAAAUGAGGCUCCACAUCAAUAGUUCUACCAGCUCCCCAGGUGAGUCUAAUGACUGCAUCAAAUCAUUACAGCACCCAUAUCUUGCUUAAAUUUGUUUCAGAUUACUCCGCCAGACCCCUUGCAAAGCCUGAAGCAAUGGGCCCAGGAGUGCUCACAUUCAGUGGUGCCAGUUGCAUAACCCAAGGAGCUGUUUUCUUAAAGUUCAAAGUCAGAAUGGAUCUGGCACAGCAAGAAAUUCAGGAUAAAUUUAGUCAAGAUCUCCGUUCUGGCAGCAGAGGCACGGCUUUGACUCAGCUGCGCCAUGAGUCCCGAUGCACAGGCUGGAGGUGCACACCCAGAUCUUCAACUGCAGCCACAAAUAAUGUCAGGUAGCGUCUGGGCCUUUCCCGCCACUCCCAGGAAGUCAUUAUGCCCCAUCUUCGGUUUCCUCUACCUAUAGGAAGAGCUCGACAACAAUGCAUUUGCCGCUCUCACAGGUGUGGACCUCCCUAGUGGGAUCUGUCCAAGCAGGAUCCGGGAGGCAGCUGUCAAGUUAGGAAAUGAGAUUCCUUGGAGGCGGGCAGGUGACACAAACCAUCUUUCAGUGAGGACCCGCCAGGUGUGAAGCACUAAAUUGUUGGGGUUUGUGAGAGCUCAUCACACUCACUUUUACCCCCGGCCAGUUUGGAACUGAGAAAAAGCUGCUGGAGUCAGAUGGAUAAAGAUGGAAGAUCCCAGCCACGGUACUGGAAAUGCAGAGUGAGAGAAGACGGCUCAGGCAAGGGAGCAAAGGGGCAGCUCAUCCCCUUCUCGGAAACAACUGACCCCCAAAUCUGCAAGCCCAUCCACUGGGAAAGCAUCUGUCCUGUGAAAGUUCUCAGAAUCCAAACAGAGUCACUGAUGUUAAGAAAACUCUCACAAAUAGAGCCAGGGAAGCCAUGAACAGCGGGUUCUAAAACCAUAUGCCUGAUAACAAACAAACAAAAAAACAAAAACCCCCAAAAAAUCACAACCUUGCUCAAAGACCAUUGCAACCUUAUGCAAAAACAAACAAACAAACAAAAAAAACACUUCUGCAAGGACAUCUGUCCAGCAGCUGCCUGUCCAACCUCAGACUGCUAUCACCCUUGCUGUUGAUCUUUGUAGCCAAGCAUAAUUAUAUCAAAAGAAGUAAUCCUCUUCAUUUUUUUCCCUCAAAAAACCUUUGCCUUCCUUUCUCUCCCUGAAUACAGGCAUAGUUUACUAAAAUGUGCAUAUUCCCAUUGCAAUGCUCUCUUCCCAGAUAAUCAUCUUUGCUUUCAGAGAGCCUCUCUCUGUUUUAUGUAGGUGGACGACCCUUACCUCAUAGAAGAACAAGCAGAUGGAGCAGGUUGCACCUGAUCCAUGCACGUUUCCUGCAGUUCCAUGUCCCUGAGAUAUCUAGAAUAGGCGAAUUCCGAGAUUGAAAGUAGAUUAGAGGUUUCCAGGGACUGGGGAGAGGCAGCUGAAAGGGAUUAUUUAAUGAGUUCAGAAUUUCCAUUUGGGAUGAUUAAAAAGUUUUGGAAAUACUAAUGAUGGGUACACAAUAUUAUGAAGGUCGUUAUUGCUAAUAAAUUUGUACACCUAAAAAAUAAUUAAAAUGGAAAAUUUUAUUUUACGUGCAUCUUCCCACACAAAAAAAAGAAAUUCCAAAUAGACUUCUGUUGAUACUCCUUCUCCCCUCCAGCA
rnacentral:lncRNA from 10 species